rnacentral:rRNA from 1 species
CCUACGGGUGGCAGCAGUGGGGAAUAUUGGACAAUGGGCGAAAGCCUGAUCCAGCCAUGCCGCGUGUGUGAAGAAGGCCUUCGGGUUGUAAAGCACUUUCAGUGGGGAAGAAAGCCUUGGGGCUAAUACCCUCGAGGAAGGACAUCACCCACAGAAGAAGCACCGGCUAACUCCGUGCCAGCAGCCGCGGUAAUACGGAGGGUGCGAGCGUUAAUCGGAAUUACUGGGCGUAAAGCGCGCGUAGGCGGUCUGAUAAGCCGGUUGUGAAAGCCCCGGGCUCAACCUGGGAACGGCAUCCGGAACUGUCAGGCUAGAGUGAAGGAGAGGAAGGUAGAAUUCCCGGUGUAGCGGUGAAAUGCGUAGAGAUCGGGAGGAAUACCAGUGGCGAAGGCGGCCUUCUGGACUGACACUGACGCUGAGGUGCGAAAGCGUGGGUAGCAAACAGGAUUAGAUACCCGUGUAGUC